rnacentral:rRNA from 1 species
UACACAAUUNNAUUACCAAUUGUCCGCCAAACAACUACGAGUCCCACUUAAAACUUAAAAGACUUGACGGUACUUCAUCACGACCUAGAGGAGCCUGUCUGAUAACCGACAAUCCACGAUUAACCCCACCCUUUCUCGCCCAACAGUCUAUAUACCGCCGUCGCCAGCUUACCUUGUAAAAGAAAUAAAGUGAGCCAAACAGUACUGCACUAAAACGACAGGUCGAGGUGUAACCCAUGAAAGGGUUAAGAUGGGCUACAUUCUCCCACCGAGAAUACGAAUAGCACUAUGAAACUAGUGCCUGAAGGCGGAUUUAGCAGUAAGAUAGGAAUAAAAAACCUAACUGAACACAACGCAAUGAAGUGCGUACACACCGCCCGUCAUCCCUGCCACAC